rnacentral:rRNA from 1 species
UUCCGGUUGAUCCUGCCGGACCUGACUGCUAUCGGAUUGAUACUAAGCCAUGCGAGUCUUUGCAGUAAUGCAAGGCAUACGGCUCAGUAACACGUAGUCAACUUACCCUAUGGACGAGGAUAAUCUCGGGAAACUGAGCAUAAUACUCGAUAGAUCAUAAUGCCUGGAAUGGUUUAUGGUUAAAAUGAUUCGUCGCCAUAGGAUGGGACUGCGGCCUAUCAGCUUGUUGGUGAGGUAAUGGCCCACCAAGGCGAUUACAGGUACGGGCUCUGAGAGGAGAAGCCCGGAGAUGGGUACUGAGACAAGGACCCAGGCCCUAUGGGGCGCAGCAGGCGAGAAAACUUUGCAAUGUGCGAAAGCACGACAAGGUUAAUCCGAGUGAUUUCUGCUAAAGAAAUCUUUUGCAAGUCAUAAAACCACUAGUGAAUAAGGGGUGGGCAAGUUCUGGUGUCAGCCGCCGCGGUAAAACCAGCACCUCAAGUGGUCAGGAGGAUUAUUGGGCCUAAAGCAUCCGUAGCCGGCUCUGUAAGUUUUCGGUUAAAUCCAUGUGCUCAACACAUGGGCUGCCGAAAAUACUGCAUAGCUAGGGAGUGGGAGAGGUAGACGGUACUCGGUAGGAAGGGGUAAAAUCCUUUGAUCUAUCGAUGACCACCUGUGGCGAAGGGCGGUCUACCAGAACACGUUCGACGGUGAGGGAUGAAAGCUGGGGGAGCAAACCGGAUUAGAUACCCGGGUAGUCCCAGCUGUAAACGAUGCAGACUCGAUGAUGCAUUGGCAUAUAGCCAGUGCAGUGUCGCAGGGAAGCCGUUAAGUCUGCCGCCUGGGAAGUACGUACGCAAGUAUGAAACUUAAAGGAAUUGGCGGGGGAGCACCACAAGGGGUGAAGCCUGCGGUUCAAUUGGACUCAACGCCGGGA